UGUCUGGGAAACUGCCUGAUGGAGGGGGAUAACUACUGGAAACGGUAGCUAAUACCGCAUAACGUCGCAGGACCAAAGAGGGGGACCUUCGGGCCUCUUGCCAUCGGAUGUGCCCAGAUGGGAUUAGCUAGUAGGUGGGGUAACGGCUCACCUAGGCGACGAUCCCUAGCUGGUCUGAGAGGAUGACCAGCCACACUGGAACUGAGACACGGUCCAGACUCCUACGGGAGGCAGCAGUGGGGAAUAUUGCACAAUGGGCGCAAGCCUGAUGCAGCCAUGCCGCGUGUAUGAAGAAGGCCUUCGGGUUGUAAAGUACUUUCAGCGGGGAGGAAGGGAGUAAAGUUAAUACCUUUGCUCAUUGACGUUACCCGCAGAAGAAGCACCGGCUAACUCCGUG
rnacentral:rRNA from 1 species